AUGGUUGUCGUCAGCUCGUGUCGUGAGAUGUUGGUUAAGUCCCGCAACGAGCGCAACCCUACGUUUAGUUGCUAACGUGUAACGAUGAGCACUCUAGGCGGACUGCCGUUGACAAAACGGAGGAAGGUGGGAUGACGUCAAAUCAUCAUGCCCCUUAUGUUCUGGGCUACACACGUGCUACAAUGGCCGGUACAGACGGACGCAAAGCCGCGAGGUGGAGCAAAUCCUAAAAAGCCGGUCUCAGUUCGGAUUGCAGGCUGCAAUUCGCCUGCAUGAAGUCGGAAUCGCUAGUAAUCGCAGGUCAGCAUGCUGCGGUGAAUACGUUCCCGGGUCUU
rnacentral:rRNA from 1 species